AGUCUUAUUUCCGCCCUUUAUUGGAACCAGAAGACCGUGGUUUCUGCUUCGUUGAUUUUCUUCUGGAAUUAACCAGGGUUGGCUGGGAAGAAUGAGCAGGCAUAUGAUGCCCAUGAACCAAAGCAGGGAACCCAACAGCAGGGAUUCUGCAGAUUUCACGUUGCAUUAGUUAAAAUAAAGGCUAUAUAAGCACUUGAGAGAAAUUAAUGGACCUCACUAUAAUACACAAGCAUGGCAACCUACAAAAAUUGCCAGCCAGUCCAGUCUAAGACUUGCUGCAGGCGUUAAUCAAAGCCGGGUCCAAAAAUUUAUGGCAGCAAAAAGUGAUAUGAAGAAUGAAUUUCAAUAAAAUGACAAGAAUUUUCUUAUCCUCACCCAACAAGAGCACAGCAGACUCCUGCUUGGUCAUACAAGCACCAUUAGCACUGCUACUCUGCAAAGAGAAGCGCAAAGCUUGAUUUUCUGCAAGACAACACUGGAGAACUAACCCCAACCUCUU
rnacentral:lncRNA from 1 species